rnacentral:rRNA from 1 species
GACGAACGCUGGCGGCGUGCCUAAUACAUGCAAGUAGAACGCUGAAGGAGGAGCUUGCUUCUCUGGAUGAGUUGCGAACGGGUGAGUAACGCGUAGGUAACCUGCCUGGUAGCGGGGGAUAACUAUUGGAAACGAUAGCUAAUACCGCAUAAGAGUAGAUGUUGCAUGACAUUUGCUUAAAAGGUGCAAUUGCAUCACUACCAGAUGGACCUGCGUUGUAUUAGCUAGUUGGUGGGGUAACGGCUUACCAAGGCGACGAUACAUAGCCGACCUGAGAGGGUGAUCGGCCACACUGGGACUGAGACACGGCCCAGACUCCUACGGGAGGCAGCAGUAGGGAAUCUUCGGCAAUGGACGGAAGUCUGACCGAGCAACGCCGCGUGAGUGAAGAAGGUUUUCGGAUCGUAAAGCUCUGUUGUAAGAGAAGAACGAGUGUGAGAGUGGAAAGUUCACUGUGACGGUAUCUUACCAGAAAGGGACGGCUAACUACGUG